GCCAAGUGUGGUGGCUCACACCUGUAAUCCCAGCUACUUGGGAGGCUGAGGCAGGAGGAUCACUGGAGCCUAGGAGUUCAAGGCUGCAAUGAGCUAUGAUUGCACCACUGCACUCCAGCCUAGGUGACAGAGUGACACCCUGUCUCUA
rnacentral:SRP_RNA from 1 species